rnacentral:rRNA from 1 species
AACGAACGCUGGCGGCAUGCCUAACACAUGCAAGUCGAACGAGACCUUCGGGUCUAGUGGCGCACGGGUGCGUAACGCGUGGGAACCUGCCCUUAGGUUCGGAAUAACUCUCCGAAAGGGGUGCUAAUACCGGAUAAUGUCUUCGGACCAAAGAUUUAUCGCCUUUGGAUGGGCCCGCGUUGGAUUAGCUAGUUGGUAGGGUAAAAGCCUACCAAGGCGACGAUCCAUAGCUGGUCUGAGAGGAUGAUCAGCCACACUGGGACUAGGACACGGCCCAGACUCCUACGGGAGGGAGGAGUGGGGAAUAUAGCACAAUGGGCGAAAGGCUGAUCCAGCAAGGCCGGGAGAGUGAUGAAGUCCUUAGGGUUGUAAAGCUCUUUUACCCGGGAUGAUAAUGACAGUACCGGGAGAAUAAGCUCCGGCUAACUCCGUG